rnacentral:piRNA from 1 species
UCUUUGUGGGUCUGCUACCUGUUGGU